UACGUAGGAGGCGAGCGUUGUCCGGAAUUACUGGGCGUAAAGAGCGCGUAGGCGGCACGGUACGACCUGUGUGAAAGCCCCGGGCUUAACCUGGGAAUGGCGUUUAAUACUGUCAAGCUGGAGUGCUGUAGAGGAAAGUGGAAUUACCGGUGUAGCGGUGAAAUGCGUAGAUAUCGGUAGGAACACCAGUGGCGAAAGCGACUUUCUGGACAGACACUGACACUGAGGCACGAAAGCAUGGGGAGCAAACAGG
rnacentral:rRNA from 1 species